rnacentral:tRNA from 1 species
GGCAAGAUGGCCGAGCGGUCUAAGGCGCCAGACUCAAGAGAUAAUCUUGCUUACUACAAGUAGGUCCUUCUGGUAUCGAAAGAUGCGUGGGUUCAAAUCCCACUCUUGUCA